UACGUAGGGGGCUAGCGUUGUCCGGAAUCAUUGGGCGUAAAGAGCGUGUAGGCGGUCCGGUAAGUCCGCUGUGAAAGUCGGGGGCUCAACCCUCGAAUGCCGGUGGAUACUGGCGGGCUAGAGUGCGGAAGAGGCGAGUGGAAUUCCUGGUGUAGCGGUGAAAUGCGCAGAUAUCAGGAGGAACACCUAUUGCGAAGGCAGCUCGCUGGGACGUAACUGACGCUGAGGCGCGAAAGCGUGGGGAGCAAACAGG
rnacentral:rRNA from 1 species